UACAGAGGGUGCAAGCGUUAAUCGGAAUUAUUGGGCGUAAAGAGCUCGUAGGCGGUCUGUCGCGUCGGCUGUGAAAACACGGGGCUCAACUCCGUGCCUGCAGUCGAUACGGGCAGACUAGAGUUCGGUAGGGGAGACUGGAAUUCCUGGUGUAGCGGUGAAAUGCGCAGAUAUCAGGAGGAACACCGGUGGCGAAGGCGGGUCUCUGGGCCGAAACUGACGCUGAGGAGCGAAAGCGUGGGGAGCGAACAGG
rnacentral:rRNA from 1 species